UUAACAAACGCCAUCUUGUCUUGGUCGUAUGUCGGCAGUGUGUGGAUACGUCGUAUGACGAGCAGUUAAUAAUUGCUAAAUUUUGUUUUAUUAUAACAAAUAUAAGUAAAAAUAACGUAAAAUUAUAUAAAAAAUAAUGAGUUACGGUCGUCCUCCUCCCCGUAUUGACGGGAUGGUGUCUUUGAAAGUUGAUAAUUUAACUUACAGAACAACGCCGGAAGAUUUACGACGUGUGUUUGAGAGAUGUGGAGAAGUUGGUGAUAUUUAUAUUCCCCGUGACCGUUUUACCCGCGAAAGUCGUGGUUUUGCAUUUGUCAGAUUUUACGACAAACGUGAUGCUGAAGACGCACUUGACGCUAUGGACGGACGUCUUUUAGACGGAAGGGAACUUCGUGUUCAAAUGGCACGUUAUGGAAGACCAACAUCACCUCACAGAAGCCGUGGAAGUCGUCGCCGAGGAAGAUCACGUAGUCGCAGCCGAGAUCGCAGACGAUCUCGAUCUCGAUCCCGGUCUAGGUCAAGAAGCCGCGACCGUGACCGCAGACGUUCCUACAGCCGUAGUCACAGUCGUUCCCGGUCAGACAGUAAAAGUUCACGAGGUAAAUCUCGUUCACGCAGUAAGUCUGCGGAAAGAGAAAAUAGCCGGUCAAAGUCUAGGGACUGAGAUGGCUGACUUUGUAUGAAAGUACAACAGAAUGAGAUGCACGUGCCCCGAGUUUAAAAUGCAGUUUAUUCUGACAUUGAAAAAAUAUAAAAAGGCGGUGGAAAGGCGUGGAGUGGCGUGUCGAGUGAUGGGGGUAGCUGAGAGUAUGCAGUAAGCCGAACUGUAGCGGGGCUGUAUGCUGAGUUUGCUGUAUGCAGAGUUAGCGAGCUAAGCGGUUGGCGGUGUCUGGUGAUAACGAUGAUGAUGAUGGUGACGAUGACGAUGACGAUGAAGCUCGAGAUUCGCGGUGAAAGUGAAAGGCGCUAAGCAGGGUUCCCGUUACAUUAGUGAGUUUGAGUGAACGAACGCGCUCACUCUAUUGUGUUGUCACGGGUGGGUUUUGGGCGAUUUAAAUUUUAGGAUCACGUACGAGAGAAAUAUAAUACGCCGUUGUUAUUAUGACGAAGGGGAUGACGAAAGCAAGAAACCGAGCCUAGAAGUGAACGGAAACAAAAUAUGUAUAUAUGUUUAAUAGUCAACGAUUACUGAUGUCGCAGUCGAGUUUGCUGACAUGGGAGACACUUUUUGCUGACGCCUCGUGGUAUGUCAGGUUUCCUGUUCAGGAUCUUUAUUUAGUCCAGUCGAAGCUCCGAAAUAGGAGACAUUUUAUAAAGUUGGUGCAAAUUUGGUUGAGGGAUGAUGUCACCCACAAAAUGAAAAGUCAUCACCCCAGGAGUCGAUGAGGAAAAAAAAAAAAAAAACAGAUUUUUCGCAAAUAUUUCAUAAACAAAAAAAAACUUACACGAAACUUGUAGAGAAAAAAAAUUCAUAUAAAACAAGAUAUGAAAUUUUUUUUGUAUCUACAAAUUACAUGGAAGGUAACAGACUUAGUACCCGAUCACUUAUGUAUUUGUAUAUCUAUAUUUUUACUAAAUAUAGAUAUACAAAUACAUGGAGUGAUUGGGUACUGUCUUUUACCUUCAUAGAUUUUUGAAAUUUUAAAGCUUAAAUUUACUGAACUUUCAUAAGGAUGCGCCACUGAAGUAAAAAAUAAUGUGUACCUAUAGCUGGACUGCUUACACUCAUAGCAGAGCUAUAUGUACACAUUUUUUUCUACUUCAGUUGCGCAUCAUAAAAAUUCAUUAAAUUUAAGCUUUAAAAUUUCAAAAAUCUAUUUUACAGAUACAAAAAAAAUUUCUUAUACUUUUUUCUCUUUAUAAGUUUCGUUUAAAAUUUUUUUGUUUAUGAAAUAUUUGCGAAAAAUCUUUUGGGAGUAUUUUUACAUUUUUUUCAUUAACCCCUGAAUGACUUUUAUUUGGAGGAUGUCGGUGAGAGACAUCAUAGACCUUCGACCAAAUUUGCCCCUUUCGAAAAAGUCUCCUAUUUCAGAGUUUCAACUGGACUGUAUAAUCUUCCUCAGGACGACGUUGACUUGAGGGAGUUUAUUGCCGAUCCACUUGAAGCUGAUUCGAGUGUCUUCAGGUUCGGAUUCUUAGCUGUUUAAACGCCAUAUCAUCAUCCACCUCAACGUAAUGCCGUCACUGUGAAACCGUGAGUCUUUUAUCUCAAAUAUUCGGUUGUAUUUUUAUUUAUUUAAUUGCAAUUUUUUUUUUAAAUUUUUUUUUAUUGAUUUACUAUCUAAUUUUAUUUUAACGCGUGUACGAAAGUGGAGAUGCUUUAAUAAUUUUUUUUGUCGUAUUCGUUGGUAAAAUUAUACAUAACGGAUUUUUAUAUAUUUGCUAUUUAUCAUACCUUGUUUUCAGAAUUAAUUACCCAAUUUUUGAUGUAAGUAUUGAUUUAUUUAGAUGCUAGUUUUUUUUAAUAGUUUAUUUUUUUUUAU